UGUGGUUAUCUUGAUGAGGGCGGGAGACCGGGUAUAGGAGUAGGCUCGUAAGCGUCGGAUCCCAUACCAAUGAUGGAUGACGGAAGGCCCAAAGCUCCGUGGCUUCCGUCACCGAAGCUCAUCACCGUUGUUUUGCUAUGACUGCCGCUGCUCAUCCAUCGGCGGGGAAGGCGACCCGCCGGAGUUCUCCCGUGCUUCAGUAACCGGAGCA
rnacentral:misc_RNA from 1 species